rnacentral:rRNA from 1 species
UACGUAGGCAGCGAGCGUUGUUCGGAGUUACUGGGCGUAAAGAGUGCGUAGGCGGUUUUCUAAGUUUGGUGUGAAAUCUCCCGGCUCAACUGGGAGGGUGCGCCGAAGACUGGAAGGCUUGAGUAUGGGAGAGGUAAGCGGAACUUCGGGUGGAGCGGUGAAAUGCGUUGAUAUCCGAAGGAACACCGGUGGCGAAAGCGGCUUACUGGGUCUUUACUGACGCUGAUGCACGAAAGCUAGGGGAGCAAACGGG